GAUAGCUCAGCUGGUUAGAGCAUGGUGCUGAUAACACUGAGGUCACAGGUUCGAUUCCCCAUACA